CGACGGCAGUGGAGCGGUCCACCAGGUGGGGGAAGUCCUUCCGGAUCUGAUGAAUAUCACCGGGCAACAGCUUCAGCGUGACCCAAAGCCCUAAGCAAAACACAGACAUAGGGGAAUUGAGCAAUCUCAGACUUUCUCUAAUUCGGGAGGCCGCGUCAACCCAAUGGUUACCGCAUGACGCUUGAUAGAUGCUGCCUAAAUGGUGUGCGGCUCACAAGACAAAUAUCGAUCCAAAUCUCCGGGAAACAAAAUGUAAUUUCUGAGGAAUCGUCAUAAAAACCAAUAUAUUGUGCCACUGGCCACAACAAUAUGAUGAUAAUGGUCAA